CCCUUAGAUGUCCUGGGCUGCACGCGCGCUACACUGAUGUGUCCAGUAAGCACCUAACCUCUUCCGAAAGGAACGGGUAACCUUUGCAAAGCACAUCGUGAUGGGGAUAGAUUAUUGCAAUUAUUAGUCUUGAACGAGGAAUUCCUAGUAAGCACAAGUCAUCAGCUUGUGUUGAUUACGUCCCUGCCCUUUGUACACACCGCCCGUCGCCCCUACCGAUUGAAUGUUCCGGUGAGCUCUUCGGACUGCGCGGUCUGCAGUUUCUGCGUUCCGUGCGGAAAGUUGCGCAAACCUUAACAUUUAGAGGAAGGAGAAGUCGUAACA
rnacentral:rRNA from 1 species